rnacentral:misc_RNA from 1 species
UCCGACUUAACGUCGGCAGUCUCUUUAGAGUGCCCAACUGAAUGCUGGCAACUAAAGACAAGGGUUGCGCUCGUUGCGGGACUUAACCCAACAUCUCACGACACGAGCUGACGACAGCCAUGCAGCACCUAUUCAGCAGCCCGAAGGCUCCAACAUUUCUGCUGGAUUCCACUGAAUUUCGAGCCCAGGUAAGGUUUUUCGCGUUGCAUCGAAUUGAACCACAUGCUCCACCGCUUGUGCGGGCCCCCGUCAAUUUCUUUGAGUUUUAACCUUGCGGCCGUACUCCCCAGGCGGGGUACUUAACGCGUUAGCUUCGGCACUGAAGGGGUCAAAACCUCCAACACCAAGUACCCAUCGUUUACGGCGUGGACUAC